AGACCGCCAUGAUGACUUGCAAGCAACUCACUGCACUUAGGCACUGGACUACCUAAAUUUCUAAUUCAGUGACGAAAGGCUGCUGGGUGUAGUCAAGUACUUGACUUGUCGAUGCGUGUGUCAAGAUGGGAUUGACCACUCCAGUUCAGGAGCUGUGUACAGUCGUGUUUUAAUUUAGCUAAACCUUGGCCAGGGUAGUCCUAGUGAGGAGUCAUAGGACUGAUUGAGUUGAGCACAACUCGG
rnacentral:lncRNA from 1 species